UUAAACUGAAGAGUUUGAUCAUGGCUCAGAUUGAACGCUGGCGGCAGGCCUAACACAUGCAAGUCGAGCGGCAGCACGGGG
rnacentral:rRNA from 1 species